GUUGCUGGUGUUAUAACAUUUCCCCUAUUGUCAGUUUACAAUUAAAGUGAUUCUUUGCGUAUUGUCUUCAACUGUUGCUUUGCUCCAAGGUCAAGUUCUUCUUCUGGGACAUCGCCAGGUAAAAUAUAUUAAUUGUUCAUAAUAACAUAUAUUAAUUGUUCAUUGCCUUCUUACUACUAAAUUAAUAUUAGUCAAAUUUGUUUAGUGUUUUUUUAUCUAUUCUUUAGACUUUGUUUUCUUUUGCAAUUAUCCCCACAGAUUAUUUAUUCUUCCUUUUACUUCAAGACUUUGUUUCGUGCUCUUUACUGGUCUAUUGGAUUAACUCUUUGUUGAUGUAUGGAGUUUACUACAAAUGAAUAUGGAGAAAUGGAGUCAAGGAAAAUGAAAGUAAUUUCAGAACAAUGUUUGAAAAAUCGGAUUAUGGAAAGCGAAAACCCUAUUGCAGGAACUGUUAGGUUCUUCGGAAUUUCUCUGAAAGCUUUCACUCUAAAGGUUGGUGUUCAUCUCCCAUGGUCCAUACAUAAUAUAUUAGUACUCCCUCUGUUUCUAAAUAAAUGGCGUUUUAGGCAUUUCAUUUUAUUUCAAAAUAAGUGAUGCUUUAGGAUUUCAAGAAGAAAUUGAUCUUAUUCUUCUAAAUAGGUCCAUUGAAUAUUUGAUUCAUAAUAUUUGUAGAAUUAAACUUAGAACCCAUUUUGAUUAGUCUCAAUCUCUUUAUGUUUUUUAUGUUGUGAUAUUCUUCAGAUCCAUAGUGGAAGACAGCAUAGAAUUCUACUGGAAACAGUUAAUUCUCAUGGAUCUGAACAUCUCUUGUAUAUUAGAUAAAGUUGAUCGUUGAGUAGGUGAAGGGAAUCUCUUUGGUCAGUAUUUACAUUUAUCCUUUUCGUGGUCUUUUUGCUUUUUUUUUCUUUUUUCCCCUUUGUUUUUUCCAUAUCACUAUAUUUAAAAGGCAUCUCUAUUAAUUGUUCUUGCUUAAGUUUUGGAAGAUUCUCAUAUCACCUGUAUAUCUGCCAGUAUGUUAUGUUCUUGUAUCUUACGAAAGUACAUAUUUUACUGAUUGUGGCUCUAAAAUAUUUGGUAAACUGAUCCAUUUGUUAAUUACACUAAUCUGAUUUUUGAGAAAGGAUGAAGUAAAAAACGCCAACAAAUGCUAAGAGCAGAUGAGUUGCUAGCAGAAAGAAGCAACAAGAGGCCCAACUCCUUUCAAGUCAGGCAAAACAAACUGGUGGUGAUCAUAUUCUCAAAAUUCGUCUUCUUUAUCUUUUUUUUUUUUUUUUUCUCAUUUUAGUUUGUUGAUUCUUUGGCUAUUUGUUGUAUUCUUUUUGGAAGAUGUGAUUGACAAUAAUAGAAAAAAGGCUCAAAAUGGAUACUUAACCGAAGGUUCUAUUGUCAAAUUGACUGUAUUCCUGGUACUUUUAAUAGCCUGCUUAUGCCAUAGCACAUAGAAAUCAAAGCUAUGACUCUUAGACAUGAACUAAAAUGGUGUAAAAAAAGAGUUACAUGAAGUGUCGGCAAUAAAUUCGACGAGCACAGUCCGGGUAAGGAGACACUUACCUUGAGUUGCAUGCUUCAUAUGCGAUAUUUCAUACACAUUCCUCAUUACUAUAUAACUGCUGUUAUAAUUUUUCUGACCUUUUCUUCUUUUGUUUAAAAUAUAUGUUUCUAAAAAGACUUUUAACUAAAAGAUUUUCUCCUCGCUUGCGACAUUGUAGUGAUUUAGCAUAAUAAAUUUGUGGUCUUAAUGUUUCAGUUGAACAUAGCUGGGAGGAUAGAUAUACUAGUGGCUGAAGGCUCUCAUGUUACAGUCAGUAUACCUGUGUAUAUAAUCUUGAACUCUUAGUUCAAUUCUGUCCCGUUGCUCAUUUAACUUGCUUAGUUGUUACAAACUCUAAACUUUUGGUUAUUGAUGUGAACUUUGUCAUAUUUUUUAUUUAUUCUUUACAUUGCAUAACACACUACCUUUACAAGGUAGAGGUAAGGUCUGCGUACACUCUACUCUCUCCAGACCCCACUUGGUGGGAUUAUACCGGAUAUGUUGUUGUUGUUGUACACACUGCAUAACACACUUAUUUUUUUUAUUCAUCUAAUGUUUAGGAAUUUUGAUUUUCGAUUAUUGUCUUGGGUAAUUUAGUUUCAUUCUUCAUAUAUUAUGUUAUUAAUUAAUUCAUAAUUCAAUCAAUAUGAAUCAUGAAGCUUAAUUUUUUUAAGGAUUUAAUCUUUCUACGAGCAAGGGAAUUUUCAAGGAGGAAAGAAAGAACACAGGAGCAGUAGAAUUUACCUUCAUAAAUUUAACGUAUCUUUCGAGUUUUGGUAAAAGCAUUUGUCGGAGAAAGUUGAAUAUUUGAACUUCCAUUGGCUGAAUUCUUGAAUAAUAUCAGAGGAAAAGUUUAUCGUCCUUGAGAAAUACAUGAAGGUACAAAUUUCGUGCUUUAUUUCAUGUAUUUCUUUAUUAAAUCUUUUUUUCUUUUCCCCAUCGGGUUAGUCCAAGCAUGAGUAUUAUGGUGCACUUCGUUCUCUUCGUCUUCUUUUUUACUUUCCAUUUGGCUUUAACAGUAUUUAUCAUGAGAGUGGAAUUGGGGCUUGAUAGAGUAAUUUGGGUACUGGAAGAUCAAACAGUCAUUUUUCAGGCUGUGGUGUGAGACUGUUAAAAUGAUGAAAGUUGUGGUUGAUUCUGAAUCGAGAAACCAAACACGUGACACAAUUGAAGCAGUGAAGGAGAAGAAAAUAAUGGUUGAAGUAUAAGAUGAAAAAUAGGAGGAACCCGCAACUCCUACUGAAGUAAAGGCUGAGAAUUGUCAAGGCAUAUUAGCCAAGGUGGAAGAAACGCCAGCAAUGGCAACAGAAGCAUCGAAAGUCUUGACAUGAUGAUUAAUUAUAAUAAAUCAGUUUUUGGCGGGGAACUUUUUGCAUAUGUAAAAAAAAUCUUAUAAUUUUUAGAUAAAGCUACAUGUAUAAUACCUCAAGUUCAAGCUUUUAUUUGAGAGAGAAUUGAUGAAAAUUUGAUGUGUAAAAGUACUUUCACUUCACCUGUUUGUAUUUAUUGUAAUAGUUCAUGAUAAAAUCAUGAGGAAAUAUUUGGUGGGUGGAGAAUUAUUUUAU